UUUUUUACAUUAUCAUGUGCUAUGUUAUGGGUGGUCUACAUGUAAAAUAAAUAAAAAAUAAUAAAUGACAUAGAUAUUGAAUGGAGAGGAGGUCUGAAGAGAACGUUUCAUUUUUUCAUUUGAAAAUCAUAUUCAGAAUUUUGGAUUGAAAACCUUAUCGGAAGUGCGCCGUCGUUUAUCAAUCAACAGAGCAGAUUCCGACGUUGUUCCAUCGUUUAUUGGAUAUAAAAGUGAUGUUCAGCCAUUGAUGAUUCUUAGUGCAGAGUUUUGACAGAGACGGAUUAUGCAGAGUAUUAUGCAAAGAGGGAGAGAUAUUCAAAAUGGAUUUUUAUUUCUCAUUAGUCUAAGAUGAAUGCAAGUACAAGGUAUAUAAACUGGAAGAGUGUAAGCUAACUGUCUAAAAGAAUCAGUUAUUACAGUUGGAAGGGAAAACUCAUAUUAACAACAAUACACCCU
rnacentral:lncRNA from 1 species